rnacentral:misc_RNA from 1 species
CCGAGUGAGGGUCCUCUCGGGCCCGACCUCCCAACCCUAUGUUUACUGAACCUCUGUUGCUUCGGCGGACCCGCCUCACGGCCGCCGGAGGAUUUUAAGUAGUCCUCUGGCCCGCGUCCGCCGACGGCCAACCUUUAAAACUCUGUAUGAAUCGUGUCAUGAUGUCUGAGUACAAUGAUUAAAUUAAAAGCA